rnacentral:ncRNA from 14 species
GGAUCAACAACUUCAUCCGCUCCUCGUGCGGGGGAAGCCGGUGCGACUCCGGCGCUGACCACGCAACCGUCACAGUCGGGAUGCCCGCCGGGGAGCGAGCGGCAGUG